AUGGCCUGCUACCCUUGCAACCCGCUCCCCCACCUUCCUCUCGGCACUACGAUCAUCCCUCCUGGCCCUCUCCGUGCUCGCCGUGGAUAUGUGGUUCUAGGAGGUGACCUCCUGAUGGUCUGCGAUGAGUGGGCAAUCGCCACGCUCAUCCCCGAGGUAUCUGCUGAGGAGUUUCAUGGCGCCAUUGCCCUGAUCACGAACUACCUGGAGGGGCGUGGAUGGCGCAUCAACUACACAUCCCAUUGUGGUAUGGGUACUGCUCUGGUUCAGUUUACAACUGCCUGUUCGUGUGAUACUGCUGCCAGUCUUAGUCCGUUUCAGAUUGGGGACUCUGUUCUUAGAAUUAGCAAACAUGAUAGAUGUCUUAAUUACCGCAGCAUAACUUUCACUCAUGAUGUUUGGAUCCUACUCAUGAACUAUCCAUUAGAAUGUUGGGAUGUUGGGGUGAUUAGCCGCACUGUUUCACCAUAUGGUCGCUUUCUGAUCUGGAACAAAGAUCCAAGGGACAAAUCAAGGGUUAUUGUUAAGCUCAGGGUCAUGAAUGUUGACACUAUUCCAGUUAUCUUAGUAGUACUGAGAAAUCUUGAUGAUCUUGGCUAUGGUGACUCGUGGACUUGCCCAACUUAUAUUCUGUCGAGGGAACUUAUUGGUCAGCAAGGGGGUGAUGAGGAUCCAUUGCCACCUGAUGGUGGAAAUCCUCACCCCCUUCAUCAUGUUCAUGGAGGUUUCUGGCAUGAUGAGGUUUUAGGGAAUAUACAUAUGGAUCAGGUUGUUAUUAAUCCUCAUAAUGAGAACCUUGGUGCACCUUAUGAGGAUGUUCAUGUUGUCCAUAAUGAUAAUGUGAACCAUGUUGCUGAUCACCUGGCUGCUGUUACUGAACCUAUUACUGUUGAUCAUGUUGAGGCACCUUCUUUGGAGGAAGUAAGGGCACCUGUCCAGAUACACUCCAGUACUCUCUAUGUUGAACCUCAUGAGACACUUGGGCCUGAUUACAUCCCAAUUAAUCCUAUAUCUUCACAGCCCAGCUUUCAGAAAGUUCCAAGCCCUGUGUUUAUCCCCAAGAACUGUAGCAUGAACUACAAUGACAUACCAUCCUCUAGCAGUUCCUAG
rnacentral:rRNA from 1 species